rnacentral:rRNA from 1 species
UACGUAAGGACCGAGCGUUGUCCGGAAUCAUUGGGCGUAAAGCGCGCGUAGGCGGUUUUUUAAGUCUGAUGUGAAAGCCCACGGCUCAACCGUGGAGGGUCAUUGGAAACUGGAAAACUUGAGUGCAGAAGAGGAAAGUGGAAUUCCAUGUGUAGCGGUGAAAUGCGCAGAGAUAUGGAGGAACACCAGUGGCGAAGGCGACUUUCUGGUCUGCAACUGACGCUGAUGUGCGAAAGCGUGGGGAUCAAACAGG